CCUACGGGAGGCAGCAGUGAGGAAUAUUGGUCAAUGGGCGCGAGCCUGAACCAGCCAAGUAGCGUGAAGGAUGACUGCCCUACGGGUUGUAAACCUCUUUUAUCAAGGAAUAAGGUUGGGCACGUGUGCCUUUUUGUAUGUACUUUAUGAAUAAUGAUCGGCUAACUCCGUUCCAACCGCCGCGGGAAUAACGGGGAUACGAACGUUUUCCCGAUUUUAUGGGGUUUAAGGGGUGGUAGGUGGGGUGUUAAGUCCGGUGUGAAAGUUUGCGGCUCAACCGUAAUAUUGCAAUUGAUACUGGCAGUCUUGAGUACAGUUGAGGUAGGCGGAAUGCGUGGUGUAGCGGUGAAAUGCUUAGAUAUCACGAAGAACUCCGAUUGCGAAGGCAGCCUACUAAACUGCCACUGACAUUGAUGCACGAAAGUGUGGGUAUCAAACAGGAUUAGAUACCCUUGUAGUC
rnacentral:rRNA from 1 species